AACGAACGCUGGCGGUGUGCUUAACACAUGCAAGUCGAACGAGAAAGUUUCCUUCGGGAAGCUAGUAAAGUGGUCGCAAGGGUGAGUAACACGUGAAUAAUCUGCCCUCGAGAUCGGGAUAACCUGAGGAAACUUAGGCUAAUACCGGAUAAGACCACAUUUCAUAUGGAAUGUGGGAAAAGGAGUCUCAAUCUUCACUCGAGGAUGAGUUCGCGGACCAUUAGCUUGUUGGUGAGAUAAAAGCUCACCAAGGCAAUGAUCAAUAGCUGUUCUUAGAGGAAGACCAGCCACAUUGGGACUGAGACACGGCCCAGACUCCUACGGGAGGCAGCAGUGGGGAAUCUUGCACAAUGGGGGAAACCCUGAUGCAGCGAUGCCGCGUGAGUGAAG
rnacentral:rRNA from 1 species